GACGAACGCUGGCGGCGUGCCUAAUACAUGCAAGUAGAACGCUGAAGAGAGGAGCUUGCUCUUCUUGGAUGAGUUGCGAACGGGUGAGUAGCGCGUAGGUAACCUGCCUUGUAGCGGGGGAUAACUAUUGGAAACGAUAGCUAAUACCGCAUAACAAUGGAUGACCCAUGUCAUUUAUUUGAAAGGGGCAAAUGCUCCACUACAAGAUGGACCUGCGUUGUAUUAGCUAGUAGGUGAGGUAACGGCUCACCUAGGCGACGAUACAUAGCCGACCUGAGAGGGUGAUCGGCCACACUGGGACUGAGACACGGCCCAGACUCCUACGGGAGGCAGCAGUAGGGAAUCUUCGGCAAUGGGGGCAACCCUGACCGAGCAACGCCGCGUGAGUGAAGAAGGUUUUCGGAUCGUAAAGCUCUGUUGUAAGUCAAGAACGAGUGUGAGAGUGGAAAGUUCACACUGUGACGGUAGCUUACCAGAAAGGGACGGCUAACUACGUG
rnacentral:rRNA from 1 species